rnacentral:rRNA from 1 species
GACGAACGCUGGCGGCGUGCUUAACACAUGCAAGUCGAACGGUGAAGGGGCCUGCUUUUGUGGGCCCUGGAUGAGUGGCGAACGGGUGAGUAACACGUGAGUAACCUGCCCCCUUCUUCUGGAUAACCGCAUGAAAGUGUGGCUAAUACGGGAUAUUCUGGGUCUGUCGCAUGAUGGGUCUGGGAAAGAUUGCGCCUUUGGGGGUUUUUGGUGGGGGAUGGGCUCGCGGCCUAUCAGCUUGUUGGUGGGGUGAUGGCCUACCAAGGCGGUGACGGGUAGCCGGCCUGAGAGGGUGGACGGUCACACUGGGACUGAGACACGGCCCAGACUCCUACGGGAGGCAGCAGUGGGGAAUAUUGCACAAUGGGCGCAAGCCUGAUGCAGCGACGCCGCGUGAGGGAUGGAGGCCUUCGGGUUGUAAACCUCUUUCGCCAGUGAAGCAGGCCUGCUCCUUGUGGGUGGGUUGACGGUAGCUGGAUAAGAAGCGCCGGCUAACUACGUG